rnacentral:lncRNA from 1 species
GCACUUUAUUUUACAUUUUAAUAUUUUAUGAUGUAUUUAAAAGAGUAGUUAUUGUUGCAAACUCCAUUAGAAAUUUGAAUUGAUAUCAGUUUUGGAAAAAGGGAAACGGGGAUGUGAAAAAAAAGGGGGGGUUUAAAUUUUUCUCAUUUCAGAUUUCAUAAAUAAAAAGAAAAUUUCUUCAAACAUUUUUUUGAGAGGAUUAAUAUUCAACAGCUUAGUGAAUUGCUCAAAGGCAAAAAAAAAACUUUUAAGUUCAUUAGAC